CGCGGCCUAUCAGCUUGUUGGUGGGGUGAUGGCCUACCAAGGCGACGACGGGUAGCCGGCCUGAGAGGGUGACCGGCCACGCUGGGACUGAGAUACGGCCCAGACCCCUACGGGAGGCAGCAGUGGGGAAUAUUGCACAAUGGGCGCAAGCCUGAUGCAGCGACGCCGCGUGAGGGAUGACGGCCUUCGGUUGUAAACCUCUUUCAAUAGGGACGAAGCGCAAGUGACGGUACCUAUAGAAGAAGGACCGGCCAACUACGUGCCAGCAGCCGCGGUAAUACGUAGGGUCCGAGCGUUGUCCGGAAUUACUGGGCGUAAAGAGCUCGUAGGCGGUUUGUCGCGUUGUCCGUGAAAACUCACAGCUUAACUGUGGGCGUGCGGGCGAUACGGGCAGACUGGAGUACUGCAGGGGAGACUGGAAUUCCUGGUGUAGCGGUGGAAUGCGCGGAUAUCAGGAGGAACACCGGUGGCGAAGGCGGGUCUCUGGGCAGUAACUGACGCUGAGGAGCGAAAGCGUGGGGAGCGAACAGGAUUAGAUACCCUGGUAGUCCACGCCGUAAACGGUGGGUACUAGGUGUGGGUUUCCUUCCUUGGGAUCCGUGCCGUAGCUAACGCAUUAAGUACCCCGCCUGGGGAGUACGG
rnacentral:rRNA from 1 species